rnacentral:lncRNA from 1 species
CUUGAACUGACGUUUCAUUGUGUUUGAAAUUUUCACGCUUCAAACAAGUCGCUCUGUUUCUGCUGCUACUUUUUCAUUUAUAAUCAGUUAAUUUGCCAAUAAACGCAGAAAAUUUGGUGAAAAUGUGAAAAAGCUUGCUGCUCUUCCCGCUGGCCCUGCGGAAGGCUAAUUUGGCUGAGAUUUUACAAGUUAGCCAUCUCCUAGUGGACUGAAUCAACUGGAACCGGCCCUCAAUGUUCUCCGCCGUGAAAUCAUUUUGUUUCUUCGAAACAGGUUCAUCAAUCAACUCGGGAGUGCGAGAGCUCGAGCCUCGUUGCCGAGCCAUGGAUGGCGCCGCGAAAGUUCUCAAUUCUUGAAUGUUCCGCCCUGAAGGAUGCCCAACACAGGAAAAGAAAAUAAUUUGGAAAUAAAUAAUUCUGUGUGGAAA